rnacentral:rRNA from 1 species
AGUGAACGCUGGCGGUAGGCCUAACACAUGCAAGUCGAACGGCAGCACAGAGGAGCUUGCUCCUUGGGUGGCGAGUGGCGGACGGGUGAGGAAUACAUCGGAAUCUACUCUGUCGUGGGGGAUAACGUAGGGAAACUUACGCUAAUACCGCAUACGACCUACGGGUGAAAGCAGGGGAUCUUCGGACCUUGCGCGAUUGAAUGAGCCGAUGUCGGAUUAGCGAGUUGGCGGGGUAAAGGCCCACCAAGGCGACGAUCCGUAGCUGGUCUGAGAGGAUGAUCAGCCACAAUGGAACUGAGACACGGUCCAGACUCCUACGGGAGGCAGCAGUGGGGAAUAUUGGACAAUGGGCGCAAGCCUGAUCCAGCCAUACCGCGUGGGUGAAGAAGGCCUUCGGGUUGUAAAGCCCUUUUGUUGGGAAAGAAAUCCAUCUGGUUAAUACCCGGGUGGGAUGACGGUACCCAAAGAAUAAGCACCGGCUAACUUCGUGCCAGCAGCCGCAGUAA